rnacentral:lncRNA from 1 species
AACAUAAAGUGCUGAAAGAAAUGGUGGUAUAUUUUGGAAUUACAGUUUACUUCUGCUGAGACCAAAGGUAAAUGUUACAGCAACAGAGAGACUGCAGUACCACAGACAGGGAACAGAUACAGCAAAUGACUGCUGAUUAAGAUGAAACAGAAACUCCUUUAACUAAAAAAUAAACACAAAAUUUUAGACAAGACACAUUCAAAGAACAUGUUUGAGAGUCUCACAGGAUCUCAAACCAAGAUAAUUGUUUUCAGACUAUGCCAGGACAAAGCUACAUUAUAAACAAUGUGACAGGUAGCUAUAUUUAAUGUCCAAAUAUUAAUCAAAGAUUACAAUGAAUACAAAAUAGGGCAAAAUCGCUCCACCAAAAUUAUAAGAUUUUCAGAAAGAAACCAUAAAAAAGAUGUAUACAUUAAUUUUAAAAAUUUAAAAUAAAUUGAAUACUCAAUGAGUAAAAUAAGGACACAGACAACUAUAGAAAAUCAGAAAAAAUGAGAAUAACAAAAAUAUUUAAAAUAUCCAAAAACAGAAAUUGUAAAGGAAAAUAUAACUAAAAAAUUCUGAAAGAAAAAAUAAUGUCAAAAUGAAGAAGCUCAACAAAUACACUAGGAUACACAUAAAGAUAUUUAUAACAAACACAUAUAUAAGCACAAUUUCGAAAGUCACAGACAAGAAGAGAAUGGAGCUGCAAGAUAAAAACGACAUGUCAUUUACAAGCAUAGUCUUAUGAGAUAGCCGGUGAACUGUCAACAAAAACUUUGCAGGCCAGAAGGAAACUGUGUGAUAUAGUCAAAGUCCUGAAAAAAAUAGCUAUAAAGUGAGAAUAAUACCAUCAGCAUAUCUGUCCUUCCAAGUAAAAAGAAAAAAAACCUUUAAAAAUAACCAAAUACUGAAAAAGUACAUUGGCUUUUCAUAUGCCUUACAUAUAAAAGAUGCUGAAAACCGUUGCUGCUACUGAAAAUAACAUGAUUCAACAAAACAACACAUCAUAUAAAAGACAUUAUUCUCUGGGAAAAAAAAUGCACAUACACAAAAAUGGAAUUUCUUAGCAUUAUAAUAAUAGUGCAAAAAAUAUUAAUUAUUCUCUAAAAUUUGAAAGGUACAAGAAUAGAAAUCAUUAUAAACAUUUGUUAGCAAAUAUACAACAUAAAAUAUACAAUUAGCAACAUCAAUGACAAAUUUGAAGGCAGAUAUAAUGAGAAAAAAUUUUUGGAUGCAACUGAAGUUCUUUUUUUUUUUUUUUUCUUUUGAUAUGGAGUCUCACUCUGUCGCCAGGCUGGAUGGUGCAAUCUUAGCUCACGGCAACAUCCGCCUCCUGGGUUCAAGCGAUUCUCC